AGAGUUUGAUCCUGGCUCANGACGAACGCUGGCGGCGUGCUUAACACAUGCAAGUCGAGCGGAAAGGCCCUUCGGGGUACUCGAGCGGCGAACGGGUGAGUAACACGUGAGCAAUCUGCCCUUAGCUUCGGGAUAGCUCCGGGAAACCGGAAUUAAUACCGGAUAUGACCAUGGCCGACAUCAGCCAUGGUGGAAAGUUUUUCGGCUAGGGAUGAGCUCGCGGCCUAUCAGCUAGUUGGUGGGGCAAUGGCCUACCAAGGCGACGACGGGUAGCCGGCCUGAGAGGGCGACCGGCCACACUGGGACUGAGACACGGCCCAGACUCCUACGGGAGGCAGCAGUGGGGAAUAUUGCGCAAUGGGCGAAAGCCUGACGCAGCGACGCCGCGUGGGGGAUGAAGGCCUUCGGGUUGUAAACCCCUUUCAGCAGGGACGAAGCGAAAGUGACGGUACCUGCAGAAGAAGCGCCGGCUAACUACGUGCCAGCCGCCGCGGUAAUAC
rnacentral:rRNA from 1 species